rnacentral:lncRNA from 1 species
UUCAAUGUCCAGCCACACCCAGGCACAAGGAGGCUGCUGUCGGCCCGAGUACUUCCACUCGAAUAAGGACACACGUCUCCAGGCCUGCGUGGCCGUGAGGGCACAGGGCUCGGGGACAGGAGCCAGGCUGGGUUCAGGCCUCAUUCGCCCCCUUAGGGAGGAGCCCCUGCACAGAACACAAGGAUGCCCGGGGCAGCUCACUGAGGACCUGCAGGGGACUGUCUCCUCCUCUGGUGCCUCAUGAUAAAAUGCCAUCUGGUAAAAGCAUCGCCAUGGAGGCCCGUGAGGACGCAGCCCUGGUCCUCUGGUAGAUGUUACCACCAGGCCCAGGGCAACUGUGCAGAAGGACACAACUGCAGGGUGUCUCCCAAGAGAGGGGCGAUAGAUUUUACUUUAGCUAAAUAAGCAUAUAUACAUUCAGAUCCUUAAAAGACAAAAAAAGAGGGAGUACCCGCUAUGGCACAAUGGGUUAAUGAUCUGGCUUGUCUCUGUGGCAUCGAGGGUUUGAUCCCUGGCCUGGGAGCUUCCAUAUGUCUUGGGUGUGGCCAAAAAGAAAAAGUAAAAGAAAAAACAGGGGUUCCCUUCGUGGCUCAGUGGUUAAUGAACCCAAGGCGGAUCCACGACAAUGAGGGUUUGAUCCCUGGCCUCGCUCAUGGGUUAGGGAUCCAGCAUCGCCGUGAGCUGUGGUGUAGGUCAAAGAUGCAGCACCAAUGCCACAUUGCUGUGGCUGUGGUGUAGGCUGGCAGCUGCAGCUCUGAUUUGAUGCAGUUCCUGGGAACUUCCAUAUGCCACAGGUACGGCCCUAAAAAGCAAAAAUAAAAUGAAAUAAAAUAAAAUUAAAAAGUUGCUUAAAAAAAAGAAAGAAAUUAAACUCUUAAUAUGUCAUUUCCUUUCUGUUAUGGACUGAAUGUUUGUGUUCCCCCAAAAUUCCGAUUUUGAAGCUCUAUCCACGACAUGACUGUAUCUGGAGGAAGAGCUGCCUUGGGGGUAAUUAAGGUAAAAUGAGAUCCUAAGGGUGGGUCCUGAUCU